UACGGAGGGUGCAAACGUUGCUCGGAAUCACUGGGCUUAAAGGGUGCGUAGGCGGCGCGGAGAGUAGGGUGUGAAAUCCCUCGGCUCAACCGAGGAAUUGCGCCCUAAACUACCGUGCUCGAGGGAGAUAGAGGUGAGCGGAACUUAGGGUGGAGCGGUGAAAUGCGUUGAUAUCCUAAGGAACACCGGUGGCGAAAGCGGCUCACUGGAUCUCUUCUGACGCUGAGGCACGAAAGCUAGGGUAGCGAACGGG
rnacentral:rRNA from 1 species